rnacentral:tmRNA from 1 species
GGGGCUGAUUCUGGAUUCGACGGGAUUUGCGAAACCCAAGGUGCAUGCCGAGGGGCGGUUGGCCUCGUAAAAAGCCGCAAAAAAUAGUCGCAAACGACGAAAACUACGCUUUAGCAGCUUAAUAACCUGCUUAGAGCCCUCUCUCCCUAGCCUCCGCUCUUAGGACGGGGAUCAAGAGAGGUCAAACCCAAAAGAGAUCGCGUGGAAGCCCUGCCUGGGGUUGAAGCGUUAAAACUUAAUCAGGCUAGUUUGUUAGUGGCGUGUCCGUCCGCACCUGGCAAGCGAAUGUAAAGACUGACUAAGCAUGUAGUACCGAGGAUGUAGGAAUUUCGGACGCGGGUUCAACUCCCGCCAGCUCCACCA